ensembl:misc_RNA predicted gene, 27875
CCAGGCUUGUAUAACUUGUAAAAUGGCGGCGUCGGGACAUUUGCGUACUUCCUGGGGUUAGCAAAGCAGCUAGAGGAUGACUCUCUAAGGACAGUGGAGACACUGGCCAGUUAAUGUGUCCCGG